rnacentral:rRNA from 1 species
GCAAAUUGACACCGUAACUUCGGGAGAAGGUGUGCCGCUGGCGGUUAGUGACUUCGCGUCACGAAGCUGUCGGUGGUCGCAGUGAAAUGGCGGUUGUGACUGUUUACUAAAAACACAGGACUCUGCGAAGUCGUAAGACGACGUAUAGGGUCUGAUGCCUGCCCGGUGCUGGAAGGUUAAGGGGAUAUGUCAGCGCAAGCGAAGCAUUGAACCGAAGCCCCAGUAAACGGCGGCCGUAACAAUAACGGUCCUAAGGUAGCGAAAUUCCUUGUCGGGUAAGUUCCGACCUGCACGAGGGCAUAACAACAUCCGCACUGUCUCGACCAGGGACUCAGCGAAAUUACAUUGGGGGUGAAGAUGCCCUCUACCCGCGGAAAGACGGAAAGACCCCAUGAACCUUUACUGCAACUUGGCAGUGAUUUUCGGGUUGUUCUGCGUAGGAUAGGUGGGAGGCUUUGAAGCCGGGCUUCCGGGUUCGGCAGAGCCAACGUUGAAAUACCACCCUGAAUAAUCUGGAAAUCUAACCUGCGCCCAUGGUCUGGGCGAGGGACACUGCCUGGUGGGCAGUUUGACUGGGGCGGUCGCCUCCUAAAUUGUAACGGAGGCGUGCGACGGUUCCCUCAGGCUGAUUGGAAACCAGCCGUAGAGUGCAAACGCAUAAGGGAGCUUUACUGCGAGACUGACAAGUCGAACGGUUGCGAAAGCAGGUGUUAGUGAUCCGGUGGUACCACAUGGAAGGGCCAUCGCUCAUCGGAUAAAAGGUACUCUGGAUAACAGGCUGAUCGCGCCUGAGAGUUCACAUCGGCGGCGCGGUUUGGCACCUCGAUGUCGGCUCAUCGCAUCCUGGGGCUGGAGCAGGUCCCAAGGGUUUGGCUGUUCGCCAAUUAAAGCGGUACGCGAGCUGGGUUUAAAACGUCGUGAGACAGUUUGGUCCCUAUCUUCCGUGGGCGCAGGACACUUGAGAGGAGCUAUCCAUAGUACGAGAGGACCUGGAUGGACGAACCUCUGGUGCUCCGGUUGUCACGCCAGUGGCAUAGCCGGGUAGCCAUGUUCGGAACAGAUAACCGCUGAAGGCAUAUAAGCGGGAAGCUGGCCUCAAGACUAGGUGUCCCUGACGCAAGUCACUAAAGGCCCCUCGAAGACUACGAGGUUGAUAGGCUCGGUGUGGAAGCGCUGCGAGGCGUGGAGCUAACGAGUACUAAUAGGCCGUGCGACUUGACCUC